rnacentral:rRNA from 1 species
CAGCCAGACUCCUACGGGAGGCAGCAGUGGGGGAUAUUGCACAAUGGGGGAAACCCUGAUGCAGCGAUGCCGCGUGAGUGAAGACGGCCUUCGGGUUGUAAAGCUCUGUCGCAGAGGACGAAAAUGACGGUACUCUGUAAGAAAGCUCCGGCUAACUACGUGCCAGCAGCCGCGGUAAUACGUAGGGAGCAAGCGUUAUCCGGAUUUACUGGGUGUAAAGGGAGCGUAGACGGCAGCACAAGUCUGGAGUGAAAUCCCGGGGCUUAACCCCGGAACUGCUUUGGAAACUGUGCGGCUGGAGUGCAGGAGGGGUAAGCGGAAUUCCUAGUGUAGCGGUGAAAUGCGUAGAUAUUAGGAGGAACACCGGUGGCGAAGGCGGCUUACUGGACUGUAACUGACGUUGAGGCUCGAAAGCGUGGGGAGCAAACAGGAUUAGAUACCCCGGUAU